GUUCUCUCUGAAGGGAAGAGUGCAGAAAAUGGGGCUCUUCUACUUCCGAGUCUUCUCUCUUGCGGCGAUUUAGAGGUUGCGUCACGGAGACGCAGCUCAGCUCCUCUAUAAAAGCGCUGAGACUCUCUUUCCUCCUUCCGCCUCUGCCGUAUCCUGAUCCGGUAAGGUUUUCUUUUUGAUUGCCCAUCGGAUCUGGUCCCGCUCCGAUCUUCUAGAGAUUGAGGCGGUCUUCAUUCUCUCUGAACGGAAGAGUGCAGAAAAAGGGGCUCUUCUACUUCUGAGUCUUCUCUCUUGUGGCGAUUUAAAGGUUGCGUCACGGAGACGCACCUCAGCUCCUCUAUAAAAGCGCUGAGACUCUCUUUCCUCCUUCCGCCUCUGCCGUCUCCUGAUCCGGCCGAAAAUGCUAAAUUACCCUCAUCCUGCUGUAUAAUUGUCUCAGGAUUGCUCUGUUGGGCUCUUAUAAAGCAAUGGAUCCAAAUGUUGCACGAGCUGUUGAGUAAUUUCCAACUGGUUUUGGUGAUUUGCUUUUAUUAGUUGAGAUAAAAAAAUAAAACGAAUUAUUAAUUAUUAAUUUGGUUUCGGCAUUUAUAAAAAAAAAAAGUUUGUAUUUGAAAAAUAUUUUUGUAGUUAGACGAGCAAAGAAGAAAAAUGUUUUUGAUAAUAGUUAAAUUCAAAAUUUAAAAUAAAAAAUCACACUCAAUACAUCUUGGUGCUGGAUUCAAAUAUUUUCUUUCGAAAAAAGAAACUUACGUACGUGUAUUAAUAUCGGUGCCUGUGCGCAUUUACAAAAUUUUUACGAGUCUGCUAGAUUCAAAUAAUGUAUCGUUCUUGUUUCUCUCACGCUUUUUGGUUGUAUUUGAGCAAUAAUUUGUCAGAGGCAGCAAGCCAGAUCUGGAAAUAUGGCAAGUUUUUAGAAAUUGGUGCUGCGCGUUUAAUCAUCUUUAACCAACAAGAUCUUAUGCUGGUUUUCAGGUAAUUCUCUUUUGUUUCGCUCCCUUUCAAUCUUCUUUAAGAUCUCAGAAUGGAAGUCCCCAGCUUCCUAUCUCUUAGUCUCCUCUUAAACCUGAAGGUCAUUAUUUUUGGCCCGUCCAACAGUUAUGUUGCAGUCAAGAGAAAGGUUUCCAGGAUAUGCUUGAGAUGCUUGCCUCGUACAAGGAGGGGGUGUGUACCAUGUGGGAACCGUGUUCCCAUAAUCUUGAUUCUGUCCGGUUCCAUCCAAAGUGCAUAAAGAAACCUAGUUCCCACGCUGGAAACUGAUAACAGUGCUCGGUAUUUUAUGUUUAUUACCAGUUAUUGUUAAUUUAUUGCGCGACUUUCAUGGGAGUUGUAUCAAUAUGUCUUGAUCCCUUUUCUUGUUCUUUGAUUUACCGGGACCAUAUUCUGAAAAUAUUGUAAUCGUCGCUCGGUAAGGGUAUGGAUUGCUGGUUCAAGAGGUUUGCAAUAUCUAUUUACACUCGUAUCACUUGGUGCUGGAUUCAUAUGUUUUUCUUCUGUAUUAAAAAGUUACGUAUGUGUAUUAAUAUUGGUACCGAGGGGGCACUGCGCACUUACAAAAUUUUUACAAGUCCGCUGGAUUAAAAUAAUGUGACGUGCUUUGUUCCUCUCGGCGCUUUUUGCUUGUAUUUGAGCAAUCAUUUGUUAGAGGCAGCCAGGCCAGAUCUGAAAAUAUGGCAAGUUUUUAGAAAUUGAUGCUGCGCCUUUUAGUUGCCAACACGUUCUUAUGUUGGUUUUCAGGUAAUUCUCUUUUGUUUCACUCCCUUUUAUUCGUCUUUAAGAUCUCGGAAUGGAAGUCCUCAGCUUCCUUGUCCCCCGCAUCUUUGAGUCUCAUCUUAAAGCUGAAGGUCAUUAUUUUUGGCCUGUCCAGCAGUUUUGUUGUGGUUGAGAGAAAGGUUUAAAGGAUGCAUGAGAUGCUUGCCUCGUACAAGGGUGUCUAUUAUGUGGGAACCGUGUUCCCAAAAUCUUGAUUCCGUCUGGUCCAUAGUCCCUGCAAAGUCAUUCCAUCCAAAGUGCAUAAAGAAACAUAGUUCCCACGUUGGAAACUAAUAGUGUUGUUCCUUUCGACUUUUGUUACCAGUUUAUUUUUUGUUUGAUGUUCGCGGGAGUUGUAUCAGUAUGUCUUGAUCCCUUUUCUUGUUUUUUGAUUUACAGGGACCAUAUUCUGACAAUAUUAUAACGCUCGCUCGGUAAGGGUGUGGAUUGCUGGUUCGAGAGGUACGCGACAUCUCUAUUUACACUCGUAUCACUUGGUGCUGGAUUCAAAUAUUUCUCUUUGGAAGUAAAAGUUACGUAUUUUUUUAAUGUUGGUACCAAAGGGGUACUGCUGCGCAUUACAAAAAUUUCUACAAGUCUGCUAGAUUCAAAUAAUAUUUCUCUCACGCUUUUUGGUUGUAUUUGAGCAAUAAUUUGUCAGAGGCGGCAGGCCAGAUCGGGAAAUAUGGCAACUUUUUAGAAAUUGAUGCUGCGCGUUUACUUUACCAACAAGUUCUUAUGUUGGUUUUCAGGUAAUUCUCUUCCGCCCCGCUCCCUUUUAAUCAUCUUUAAUAUCUCAGCAUGGAAGUCCUCAGCUUCCUUGCCCCCCGGGCCCCACUUCUUUUAGUCUGCUCUUAAAGCUGGAGGUCAUUUUUUUUUGACGUUUGUUGUAGUCAAGAGAAAGGUUUCUAGGAUGCAUGAGAUGCUUGCCUCGUACUAGGGUGUCUUUUAUGUGGGAACCAUGUUCCCGUAAUCUUGGUUCUGUCUAUGGUUCGUAGUCCCAUAUGAACGAGGAUGCUGUGUUCUCGGGAUUUUUAUCUGAUGCGAGAAAGGUCGUCAUUCUUUAUUUCGAAGCCACAUUAGAUUGAUUUUGUGUCCCGGUAAAAGUGCCCUACUUUAUUUUAUUGAAAGUGAGAGUAAAUUGAUUUAUUGUUUCAAAAUAAAUUUGCGUCCGUGUUUAAUGGAAAAUUUUACGAUUUCUUCGGAGAAAGUAGAAUUCCCCAUGUCCUUCGGGUAGUUGGAACUUAAAAAGAAUGUGCUUGGAUCUUCUAACAGCAAGUAAAUAUUUUUGGGCAUUGUUUUAAGGUUCUUGCUUCCUUUGGUAGAAAAUAAUUUUUUAUGGUGUUCCGGUCCUGAAUUAUUGCUCAGAAACUGAAAGCAUGUUUUGUAAAUCUUUUAAAAAAUAAAUGAGCUUGAUGAACAAGAAAAUUUCCCAUUCUUGAGAAAACAAAAAAUGUUCCCUGGUCCCCCGGGUAGCACCAACUGUGAGAAAAUGUGUCUUGAGCAUUUUGAUUCCUAGUAAAUAUGUUUAUGUGUGUCGCUUCGGCAGUGAAAGCUAUCGUGAUGGGCACCCUUUCUCUCUUAGACGUUGCAAUUGGAUUUUCUAGUAUUUGAUAACCAUUUACAAAAGAUAUGUAUGCUCGGUUUUUGGAACUUUCAGAUGUAGUUUAUUGGAGAAAUGUUGUUGGUAUGUGUUUUGAAGCUUCAUUCAUGAAAUAUAGUUGGUGAAGGAUCAUUGUGGGCCGGGUCUCUUGAGUAGAAAACAUUAUUUCUGCAGCCCUUGCAUGCACGAUGAAUGUUUUAUCUGAGAUUCUCGGUCCAAAAUGUAAGAGCUUCAAUUCCAUAUUAACUACAUUUCAGUCCCAAAAUACUAGGGAAGCCAAUAUUUCAUUUUGAAAGUUAAAGGGUGUUGAUGUGUGUUUUGAAGCUUCAUACAUGAAAUAUAGCCGGUGAAGGAUCACUGUUGGCCGGGUCUCUUGAGUAGAAAACAGUAUUUGUGCAGCCCCUGCAUUCACAAUGAAUGUUUUAUUUGAGAUUCUCGGUCCAAAAUGUAAGAGCUUCAAUUCCAUAGUAACUACCUUUUCAGUCCCAAAAUACCAGGAAAGCCAAUAUUUCAUUUUGAAAGUUAAAGGUUGCUGAUGUGUGUUUUGAAGCUUCAUUUAUGAAAUAUAGUUGGUGAAGGAUCAUUAUUGGCCGGGUCUCUUGAGUAGAAAACAUUAUUUCUGCAGCCCGUGCAUUCGAAAUGAAUGCUCUAUUUGAGAUUCUCGGUCCAAAAUGUAAGAGCUUCAAUUCCAUAUUAACUUACUUUCAGGCCACAAAAAUCUAGGACAGGCAAUAUUUCAUUUUGAACGUUAAAGGUUGUUGCUGUGUGUUUUGAAGCUUCAUUUAUGAAAUAUAGUUGGUGAAGGAUCAAAAUUGGCCGGGUCUCUUUGAGUAGAAAACAUUAUUUGUGCAGCCCUUGCAUUCACAAUGAAUGUUUUAUUUGAGAUUCUGGGUCCAAAAUGUAAGAGGUUCAAUUCCAUAUUAACUACCCUUUAGUCCUAGGAAAGGCAAUAUUUCAUUUUGAAAGUGGAAGUUUUUGUCGAUAUUUCAAAACAAACUUAUGUGCCUCGGUGCAUGAGAACGUGAAUCUUGAUUUUUUGUGGCAAAAUGAAACUGCUUGCAACCCUCAAGAUGUACAGCCUCAAAAAGAUGUGGCUUAAAAUCUCAAGCCAAAGUUUGGGUGCGUCGGUUUGAAAGUGAGAGUUUCUUUGAUCACGCACUUUCUUUUGGAGAGUUAGGCGACGUUUCACUUAGUGGUGGCAAUAUGCUCUCCCAAUCUAUUUUUAGCGCGGACAGAAAAAGUUUCGUGCUAGGUUAUGGGAAUCGUCAUUAUACGUGGAAGAGGUUGCCGUUCUUUAUUUUGAAGCCACAUCGAUAAUCUAGUUGCAGCGUUUUUCCUCUGUAGAGGUGCCCCGAUUCGAUAUUUUGAAACCGACACUGUAUUUACUGAUUCUUUUAAAAUAAGUGUGCCCCUCGGUAUUCAAGCAGAAGUUUCUCUGUUUUUUGGGGAAGAGUAAAAUUGCUCUGUUCUCUUGGUUGGUUGGAACAUAGAAAGCAAUAUGUUUGGAUCUUUUGAUUGCAAGUAAAUAUUUUUUCGGCACGUGGUUUUAAAGCUUUUUGGCUUUUGUUAAAGAAUAGUUUUUUUAAAAAAAUAUAUAUACAAAAGAAUAGUUUCCUGUUUUGGAAGUUUCCUGGUUUGGGAAGUAAAUGAGACUCAAUUUAUACUUUAAAACCUAAAAGCUGUUUUUAUGCAUUAUUUAUGGAUAAAUGUGUGACUUGAUGCACAAGAAAAUGAAUUUUGAUUUCUUGGGGCAAUGUAAAUCUGCUUGGGUCUCUCUCGCAGUUCCAAGUUUUAGAAAAACUUGCAUUGACAAAGAUUUGAGGAUAUUGUGACAGCACCACUUCUGACACGGUAACUUGCUUUCAAUAUUUAGUUUACGUAAGGCAUACGAGAUGUGUUUUGAAGGUUUUGAAACCCAUGGUCUGUUGCUGCGAAAAUAUAUCAUUCGGAGUCCCGUAUUCAGAAAGUAAAAGGCCUCGAUUAAUCUUUUCGAAAGCUAGCCUGUCCAUUUAUUUUUUGAAAACGAUUUUUUUUGUUGGUCCCCUGAGCAAAUGUUCCUCAAUUUUUUGGGGCAAUGUGAGAUUUUGCAAAAUGUCCCUUGGAUAAUUCUUUCUCUAGCAAAAUGUCCCUUGAUCUUUUAGUUGGAAGUAACUAUUCUUUGCUAUGUUGGUUUAAUUAAAGUUUCUCUUGAUCUUUUGCUUUCGAAAUAAAUCUGCAGGUGUCCCCACAGGGAAAUUGUAGCAGUUGGAAAAGUAAGUGGAGGUCAAGUAAUUUUUUUAGAAACUGAAGGCGUGUUCUAUCGAUUAUUUUGAAAGAUAAGUGUGCCUUGGUGCAAAAGAAAAUGACUUUGGAUUUGCUGCAGCAAAGCAAAACUUUUUUGAUGCCCUGGGUUUUCGGAACUCUAAAAGUUGUGGUUUGGACUCUUGAUUCAAAGUAAGUGUUUUUGAGAAUACGUUGGUUUAAAGGAAAAGUAACUCUGAUAACAAACACCCUUUCUCUUGGAGAGUUGGCAGCCUUUCUCUACGUAACUGGCAGUGUGCUUUCUCAAUCAUUUUAUUGCUACGGGCGUAAGACAUGAUUGCUCGGUUAAAGGAGAUAUUCAUUUUAUUUGAGAAAGGCCUUCGUUCUUGAUUUGGGAGCCAAUUUAAUGAACUUCAGUAAAAGUGGGCGAAUUCAUUGACUCGCAAAUGAGAGUGCUUUGGUUUAUUGUUUCAAAAUAAAUGUACUUUGACUCCUAGGCAACGGUUUUUUAAAUUUCUCGGGAAAAAGUAAAAUUCAACCCGUCGCUCGGCCAGUUGGAGCUCAAAAAAAGCAUGCAUGUAUGCUGAAUUUGUCUUGGUUCUAAUCAUUGUUCUAAUGUAGGUCUUCAAAAAAUUGACCGAGAAAACUAUUUGAGAGAACCAAACCUUCGAAGUCUAUCGGACCCAAAGUGUAGUAGUCUAACCAAACUUCAGACCUUGUGGGAUCUUUUCUCUGUUUUCCUUUUUUUUUUUAAAGCAAUAUCUGUGGUUAAAAGAGAUUGGUACGUUUAACAUGCAAGGCAACUACGGAGCCUGGCGUAACCGCGUCAAUAUUAUGUUGCUGACUUUUCUUUGCUGUAGGUACUUAGUGGGAAACUUGUUUAAGCGGAAAGAACGGAGUUUGUUCCAGUGGCUAUCUACACAAACAACGUGUGCUACGCGGAAUGUGAGUAUUAUGUUACCCUGGAUUGUCUUGAAAAUAUUUCUCUCGCUUUUACUUUGUUUAAGAAACAUUUGUAGUUGUACAAAAUUAACGUUUAGAACAUGCGAGACGGUUAAAAAGCUACAGAUAACAGGGUAUGCUCAUUUUGCCAGCCUUUCCUUGGUGCAGCAAAUUGGAGCGAGGGUGAAGCCUUCCUAAGUGUAGAGCUACAGAUUGAAGGUUUUUGGACCCUACUUUAUUUAAUUUAAUAGUGGAACUUAUCCUUCUUGGAAAAUAGUAAAAGAGGCAAUCGGACCUGCUUUGUUGUUGUUUACUAGAGACGUGUUACUGAAAGGAACAAAUGAGGUUUCUUCCCAUUGCUGGUUGUGCAGGUGACGAGUGCGGCUGCGUGGCUUCUGAGUGUGAUUUUACUCCGUGUACAUUAUCAGGGAAUGGAGUUUUUACUCUUACCGAGUUUUAUUUUAUAGGGUUGUCGUCCCCGUAUUUGUAUCUGCAAUUUGUGUAGUGUUGGAACGGAAGUUUAUGGCUUGAACUUCCAUUUUGGUGGAUAUUCAACUUGGGAAAUAAGUCAUUUAGCGUGGUCCAGUUCCAGUGGAGUUCAUAGCAACCAUGUUGGCUCUUAACAAGCGGACUGAUCCGUUGAAUUACUUGCAAAUUUUGUGCUUGACUAGGGAUCUUUUGUUGAUAAAUAGAUCUUCCUAAGUGUUGGUUUGUAGUUAAUUUGAUUUUUUACCCACAAGUAGUCUUGUUCUUUUUAUCUUCGGUAUUAAACCCCUUGUUUCCUUGGAGAAGCAGCUGUUUUUGUUUCUAUUCGUGUCGUUUUGUUUACUUAGGCUCCUGUACAGUUUGCAAUUUUUUUUUGGGGCUUCAAAUGAUGAUCCAAUGUAGUGGUAAUUCGUACUGUUUCUGUUGCAAAAUGAGGAGUCAGUAUUCUGCAUAUUAGCAAAUGAUUAUUUAUACUUUGUGAUGCUCUUGGAAGUCCUUUAACCAUGGCUUGAUCCUUGUUCGUGUCUCUCUGAUUUGUGGGCGCGGCUAAAUGAUAUCCUUGGUGCAGGUGAAGUUUGUGAUUGUUAUUUGAAGAGGUACCCAAUAUCUGGCCAUUCUUCGCUGUUGUUUUCUUUCUUGCUACAUGUCAUUUUCACAGGUGCAGCUAUUUUUAUUCCAUAUUCGUCUUAUUGUUGGGCAGUGAUGCGGAGAUUGUGGCGGGGGAAGUGAUGCGGAGGGUAAAGAGAAGGAAGCUGAGAAGGUUGGUGUGGAAUAUCAUCAUCAGCCAAAACCAGGUGAUUUUGUGGUUUCUGGCAACGAAAAUAAGCUCGGUGUGAAUAUUGGAUCAGAAUUGUUGGGCACCAGGUUGACAAAGGGGGUUCUGCCCCAGGGAGAUGUGAUUUGAAAAAUGAUGCAGAGGAGGAGUUCGUGGUUUGUGGGAAGAUGAGAAUUGUCAAGGACUGGGAAGGCCAGUUGUGGAGACUGGGAACUGUCCUUUUUGCUGAGGUUCUUGGCAGAACCCUAACCGGUGAAGCUGUACAGGUGCUUGGUGGAGCAGACAACUCGCCACGCACCCGUCUGUGUGGAUUUGUCAGAGAAGGAAUAGAAAUUGAAAGGAAAAUUUGUAAGUAUUAUUUACGAGGAUUAAGAGAAUAAAUAAUUUAAAAUUAGAUAACAGUUUAAAAAAUUUUAAUAGAAUAUAUUUGUAGAUAUAAAUUUUUUUUAAUAAUACGCGUAUUAUUUAAUAAAUUUUUUAGAAAAAAGAAUUAUUAAAAAUUGUAUUGUAAUUAAGAGUGUUUAUUUUAUUGUGGUUUUUUAUUAUAAUAUUUGUAUUUAGAAAAAAUAUUUUUGUCGUUGGGUGAGUAAAAUAUAAAAUGUUUUUGAUAAUAGUUAAAUUGAAAAUUUAUUUUUUUAUAAAUUUAAAAUAAAAAAUUACAAAAGUAACAUGAAUUUUUAUUAAAAAUAAAUGUUAUUAUUAUUGUAUAAAUAAUAACAUAUUUUCACAAUUAUUUAUAAAAAUAUUUUUAAUGGAAAACUCAGUAAGGCAAUAAAAAAAAUAUUAUCUUUUUAAUUUUCUCUCUCUGCCGCUCUUCAUCUUCGGUCUCUGGUUUUCCUUUUUUCUACCCGAGGUUCCGCGUGUUUAUAAAGCACGUAGGUUGCGUCGCGGAGACGCAGCUCAGCUCCUCUAUAAAAGUGCUGAGACUUUCUUUCCUCCUUCCGCCUCUGCUGUCUCCUGAUCCGGUAAGGUUUUCUUCUGAUUGCCCAUUAGAUCUGGUCCCGCUCCGAUCUUCUAGAGAUUGGAGGCGGUCUUCAUUCUCUCUGAACGGAAGAGUGCAGAAAAUAGGGCUCUUCUGCUUCCGAGUCUUCUCUCUUGUGGCGAUUUAGAGGUUGCGUCACGGAGACGCAGCUCAGCUCCUCUAUAAAAGCGCUGAGACUCUCUUUCCUCCUUCCGCCUCUGCCGUCUCCUGAUCCGGUAAGGUUUUCUUUUUGAUUGCCCAUUAGAUCUGGUCCCGCUCCGAUCUUCUAGAGAUUGGAGGCGGUCUUCAUUCUCUCUGAACAGAAGAGUGCAGAAAAUAGGGCUCUUCUACUUCGGAGUCUUCUCUUUUGCGGCGAUUUAGAGGUUGCGUCGCGGAGAGGCAGCUCAGCUCCUCUAUAAAAGCGCUGAGACUCUCUUUCCCCCUUCCGCCUCUUCUGUCUCCUGAUCCGGUAAGGUUUUCUUUCGAUUGCCCAUUAGAUCUGGUCCCGCUCCGAUCUUCUAGAGAUUGGAGGCGGUCUUCAUUUUUUCUGAACGGAAGAGUGCAGAAAUUGGGGCUCUUCU
rnacentral:lncRNA from 1 species